ACACAAACCACCUGGGGAUCUUGUUCAAAGGCAGACUCUGAUUCAGGAGGGCUGGAGCAUGGCCUGAGAUUCUGCAUUUGUGACAAGCUCCCAAGUGAUGCUGGU
rnacentral:pre_miRNA from 2 species